UGCUGUGUUUUCUGCCACCAUCACCUUGUCAAAGUCUGAUCUUGGCAGAUCUGUGAAGCUAAGCAGAGUUGAGCCUGCUUAGUACCUGGAUGUGAGACUGCAGGGAAUAUCAGGUACUACAGUGG
rnacentral:rRNA from 1 species